rnacentral:lncRNA from 1 species
AUCAUAAGUCAAAAAAUGCAUUUAAUGCACCUAAUGUACCAAACAUCAUGGCCCAGCCUAGCCUACCUUAAAUGUGCUCAGAGCACUUACAUUUGCCUACAGUUGGGCAAAAUCAUCUGACACAAAGCCUGUCUUAGGAUAAAUGGUUAAGUAUCUCAUGUAUUUUACUGUACUGAAAGUGAAAAACAAUUGUUGUGUGGAUACAGAAUGGUUGUAAGUGUGCAGGUUGUUUACUCUCAUGAUUGCUGGCUGGCUGUCAGACAUGGCAGCGUCACGAGCGAGGAUUGUCCCAUACAUAGACAGCCUGGAAAAGAUCAAGUUCAAAAUUCAAAGCGUAUUCUCUAAAGAACACAUCACUUUCACACCAUCCUUGAGUCAAACCAUCAUCAGUUGGAACUAAGUACAUAAAACUUACUAAACAAACUUAAAAAUCAUUUGUUGUUCAUCCAAAUUUGAAAUUGGACUAGGAGUCCUGUAUUUUAUCUUAACGACCCUACUUCAUCCUCUUCUUGUUCUCUGACCUGUGCUGGGAACACUAGCAUAUAACCCUAAAUCUAUUUCUUUCUCUGUAAGCUUUUUUGGAAAGGGCAUCUAUCACAUCAGUGGUUCUCAAAGUAUGGUCCUGGACUAGCACCUGGAAAACAGACAGAAAAUACACAUUCUCAGCUUUUGACCCAGUCAUACAGAAUCAGGUCUUUUGGGGGUGGGGCCCAGUGCUCUUUGUGUUUUAAGAGGACCGUCAGUUGUUUUUUUUUGGUGAUUGUUGUUCGUUUGUUUUUUAGGGCUGCACCCGCGGCAUAUGGAGGUUCCCAGGCGAGGGGUGGAAUCAGAGCACAGCCGCCGGCCUACACCACAGCUCACAGCAAUGCCAGAUCCUUAACCCACUGAGUGAGGCCAGGGAUUGAACCUGCAACCUCAUGGUUCCCAGUCGGAUUCGUUUCCGCUGUGCCGUGACGGGAACUCCAGGAUCCUGUAUUUUCAUUUGUUAAGUUUGGCAACUGUUCCACAGGGUUUUUGUAAAAGCCUUAUUAGCUCUAUUAACCCUGUUUUAGAGAUGAAGGAAUUGAGGCACAAAGAGAUGAAGCAACCUACUCAUGGUCACAUAGCCUGGUUUGAAUCUAGGCUGUAGGAUCCCUGAAACCUGCCCAUAAUCACUAGACACAUCCUGUGCCUACUGUCUGUGAAUAACCCAGCAUGUGGUGCUGUGCCACCACGGGAACUCCCCUUCAGUGAGGAUUUAAAUUGGGAGAACCACUGGUUUAAACAAUCACUUCUAAGAUGUUGCCUCCCAGAUCUUUAUCAUUAACCCUGAUUUCAUACCCACACUUCCCUCUAGCAUUUCAAACUGGGAAUAUCCUGUGGAAUGUUACAAUAUGGGGGGUGGGGGUGGGAAUAGCCCUAUAGGAGUUCCUGCUAUGGCUCAAUGGGCUCAGUGGCAUUUCUGGAGUGCUGGGUUGCAGGUUCAAUCCCCGGCCUGGCACAGUGGCUCAGGGAUCCAGUGUUGUGCGCAGAUCCGAUGCCUGGGCUGGGAAUUCCAUAUGCCACAGGAAAAAAAAAAAA